CCAGCCGGUCAUCCUGGACAUCUACAAGAACAAGGAAGCUCUCCACAGGAGGCACCGAAGGAAGGAAAGGUCCAGCUCUAGUUCCAGGAUCAAACUGCCCCCCUUCUCGAAGAAAUCCAGGAAAAUCGCAUCAGAGGCAGGGAUGCGCGUUUCAAGCCUGCAACUGGAAGCUGACCAUCAUUUG